AUUCAUAAACUUAACCUUAUCUUCUCUUUAUCUCCGCCUAGACUCGCUCACCCUCCCUUUCUCCUCUGCAGAAACCUACACCAGAUCUAUAACUUCAUUUCUCAUCCAUGGAAUUAAGCCAUGCCAAUCUAAUAAUUCUCUUCUUUCGUCAAAGAUUUCUUUGUCAAGAAGAAAAUGACAACAGUACCAGGGUCUUUUGAUUUGGGAGAUUGUGAGGAGGAACAAUACUUUCCUCGGUUUUGACAUCUGAGCCAGAUACUUUCCUCGGUUCCUCAUGUAUUUGUUAGGCUUCCAUAUGUCAUUCAUGGUCGAGAAGAAGCUCGGUUAAAAGAUGAGACUAAGAAAACCCAUCCCUAACUGGAUCUGUAUGAAACUGAUAAAACCAUCAGAUAAAUGAAGGUUCCUGGUGUUUGCAACUGCAGUAACCAAGGUUCCUGGGGAUUUGAAUAUUGUUGUAGGGACUGAAUAAGUAAACUCUGGUGGGCGAGUAGGUCCCUUGCACAAAUUCUCUGCCAUAUUUAAGUCCAAUUGCAAAAUAGAAGACUAGAUGUCAACAAAUGAUACUAUCAUUGUCUUCAAGCGUCCAGAAAACAUGGUCAAGAAGGAAAUGGAUGCACUAGGGCUGGUUGUUAUGAACUCUUUAGUUUAAUUUCGAUGUUAACAAAUCAACAAGGAGAUGAUAUUCAUCAAUAACAAAGGGGAGAGAGGAUGCAUAUAAGGCCCUUCGUAAACAAGGCGUUAUCCAAGCAUCAGAGAAGUCGUCUCAAACUGCUGCUGAGGGUUUUUGCUUGCACUGGCACAAAUACUGGAACUAAAUCAGGAUGCUCAAAGGAGCCUGUUUGGACCAAACUUAUUUAUCUUGCAUUGGAAUUGAUAAUUUAAAUGUCUGCAGAAACUGAAUCAUCCUCUGAUUCUUGGUCAUGGCCUCGCUUGUCAAAAUACUAGAGUCGGCUGUCACGGUAAAUGAUCUUUUGGAACUUCUGGUCCUUAACACAAAAAAUAGACCCCUUUUAAUUGUGGCCGAGGUUGUUGAAAGUGGGGCUUUGACGAUGUUGAUACUGGAUGCGCUCACGCUGGAGUCAAGGGUGCUGGAAUUCCUAAAGGCUUGUUCCUACAAUUGGUAUUGCUCUGGGCCACAGGCAUAGAAAUAAGUCAUUUGAAUGGCUCCAAACCAUUGCCAGCGACUUAAGACAUACAAGGCCAAGCUUGUUUUCUUCCCAAGGCAUGCAGGCAAAUUCAAGACAUGGAAAUACAACUUUGCCAUAAAUCAGCACGGGUAUUUCAGUGAAGACGAUUUAUACUGUUGGAAUUAUAAUGGUGUCUCGGACAUUUAGGGUGGUUGCAAUGCCAAGUAUAUUGAUCUCUCUAGAGCGAACGAACCAGAUAUUUCAAGUUCGGAACUGGUAACCUUGUUUACCUUGUGUUCUGUCGUAUUGGUAGCGAUGAUUUACAUGAGUUUUGCUUGAGAGCAUAGCUAAGUAAAAAUCCAGAAUCUCAGCCAAGUAAAGAUCCAAACUCUCAGCCACUCAAUAUCCAAUCUAAUCCAGUGUGUCCUCUAUAUAUGUAUAUUGUAGUUGGAAGUUCUGAAUAUAUUUUGGAAUAUUAAUGAGUUGGUGAUGUUGAAUUUUAUUGUCAAAAUGAUAUCUGCAUUUGUUUUUCAUGAUAUUCUUGAUAGACUACCCUCGAGAAUAUCAAGAUGUAGCGGGACACGACUUAGA